UUGUGAUUCUAUGAUUCUAAAUAUGAAAUUAUAAAAUUUAACAUGAAUAAACUCAGUGGCACUACUGAGACAAGCCUGGCUCCUUUACCUUCAUUUCAUCUCAUGAGGUUUUUACUUAUACAUACUGACAAGUUCCACAUCAGCCUUCCCUUCCUCAGGCUGAACAGUCCCUAAUCCCUCAGCCUCUCCGUGUACAAAAGAUGCUCCAGUUCCUUAGACAUCUUUGUGGCCCUAUGCUGUUUUCUAACUCCAGUAGGCUAUUACACUGAUACAUUCAUUCAGGAAAUCCUAAUGACCUGCACAGUAAUGCCGUGACUUUCCUAAAUGUAAAAAGUUUGCAACAAUUAUGUAUCUGUUUUGCUGAAUUAUCACCUUUCUUAGGAUAUUCAUAACAUUGUUGCAUCAUUUUAUGUCUGUCACAGUACUCUACACUAAAACAGCUAUCUUGACCUAAAUACGUUAUUAGACAGAUCCACACACUACUUGUCUACAUCUGUGCCAAUUUUCUCAAAAGUACUUCCACUGAAGUCAGAGACAGAUGAUUAAACUACAGAAAAUAAGACAUAAGCAUCCUCAACUAUCACACACUGGUAAUUCAAGAUUAAAUGUGUAGGACUAAUGUACACCCACAGGUCAGCAUUACUCAACUCAGUACAAAUGAUUUGAUAAUUACAGUUCAUUCAGAAAGCAUUCAGAUGUAAAUAUGCACUUCUGUGGUGAGUUUACAACUCAGUAGCAAUAUUGGCAUGAGAAGGAAAUGCUCAAGCAGUGGAAGCAGGGGUGUGUGACCUGGGAAGAAUACAGGUAUGCUGUCCAGACAUGCACAGAUAGGAUCACAAAAGCCAAGGCACAGAUGGAGCUGAACUUGGUGAGGGAUAUGAAAAGUAAGAAGAAGGGAUGCUAUAGGACCACUGAUCAGAAGAGGCAGACCAGGGAGAGUGUACUCCCUCUGAUAAAUGAGAGGGGAGAACUAACUUCAACAGGCAUGGAGAAGGCUGAGGUCCUCAGCAUUUUCUUUGCAUCAGUCUUCACUGCCACUCAAGCUUCCCACAUCUCUCACAUCCCUGAACCUUCAGGCAGGGCUCUGAGGAGUGAAACCCCUCUCACUGUAAGAGAAGAUCAAGUCCAAGACUGCCGCAUGAGACUGAAUGUGUACAAGUCUAUGGGGCUGGACAGCAUGACAUCCUAGGGUUCUGAAGGAACUGACUGAGGUGGUUGUAAAGUCACUCUCCAUCAUAAAGUCCCCCCUGUAAAAUAAAUUACAGAAGAAUCUCAAUUAGUUGAAGGUCUCUUUGGACACCUAAAACCUUUGAUAAUUAGCACUACUUCAGUAGAGCUGGUUGGUUGCACUAGUGUUGCAUAUAUCCAUGCAGUUGUAUAGGUGCACACCAUGCACAUAGUCACACACUAAAACACUCUGCUUCCACAAGUAAGAGACUAUUCUGGCAGAAGAGUGGGGACAGCUUGAUUUCACAGGAAGUAUAUUUGAUACAGUUGGGAUUUGAAGCUUAUUCUUUCUGAGAUGUCCUGGCAGAAGACCACAGACCUAUACGACUUGGGUUUGGGACUGAGACACCUUGUAUUCCAAGGGUGUCCAUAAAUAAGAAUGCCCUGGGGAAGGUCUGCUCUAUCUUUUUCAGCUGUUUAUCCACCCAGAGUGCAGCCCAUCUCUGUUAGUACACAGAAAGACAACUGUUUUGUAGAUACAUCAAGAAAUACAGUUCUCCCAUUUGGGGCUGGAAUCUUGCAGGGCACUGGAUGAUCAAACUUCCACAUCCCUCAACAAGCUCAUUCAUGGACCAGCCCAGCACAAAUGACGGCAAAUCAGUUCAUGAACAGUUCACUAAACACAGUCCUGUGAACACCGAAAAAGAUGCAGCCGUGAUUUCCAGUUUGACGAUGAAAAUUAAGAAUAGGUUUCAGGAUUAAAAAAAUAAUAAUAAUAAUUUUAAAAAAUCAUUUUUUUGCUUUCUUUAUGACUCCAUUUUCAGUUGACGUAAAUAAAUUACUUGCAAAUUU
ensembl:lncRNA